rnacentral:rRNA from 1 species
AAAGCAGCUCACUUGGCCAAUACAACGUGAGGCACGAAAGCGUGGGAGCAACAGAUUAGAUACCUGGUUAGUCCACGCCGUAACGAUGAGCACUUGGUGGUGAGAUUCGACCCUUCACUGUCGAGCUAACGCGAUAAGUGCUCCGCCUGGGACUACGACCGCAAGGUUGAAACUCAAAGGAAUUGACGGGACCCGCACAAGCGGUGGAACAUGUGGUUUAAUUCGAUGCAACGCGAAGAACCUUACCUGGGCUUGACAUGUCAGUGAAAUCUUGGUGAAAGCCGAGACCUCCACGACUUCGGUCAAGGACACUGUCACAGGUGGUGCAUGGCUGUCGUCAGCUCGUGUCGUGAGAUGUUGGGUUAAGUCCCGCAACGAGCGCAACCCUUGUCCUUAGUUGCCAGCACGUUAUGGUGGGGACUCUAAGGAGACUGCCUGGGAUAACCAGGAGGAAGGUGGGGAUGACGUCAAGUCCGUAUGUCCCUUAUGUCCAGGGCUACACACGUGUUACAAUGGCCGGUACAAAGGGUCGCGAACCCGCGAGGGGAAGCCAAUCCCAUAAAACCGGUCUCAGUUCGGAUUGGAGUCUGCAACUCGACUCCAUGAAGCAGGAAUCGCUAGUAAUCGCGCAUCAGCACGGCGCGGUGAAUACGUUCCCGGGUCUUGUACACACCGCCCGUCACGCCAUGGAAGCCGGUAGUACUCGAAGCAGGUGGCCCAACCCCGACACUCGUGUCAGGGGGGGAGCCUACGAAGGUAAGAUUGGUAACUGGGGCGAAGUCGUAACAAGGUAGC